CCAAAUUAUGUCCAGGACUAAAACCGCAUCAGUGAAUCAGACGCUGGUGUGGUAUUCAAGUGGACUACAUUAAAACCCAUGAUAUACUAUUCCUCUUAAGGGCAUUGGCUAAAAGAUGCGUUCCUUAAUAAAGUUCAAAAAUCAACAAAAACAACUA